UUUUUUUUUCUUUUUUUUUUCUCUCUCUUUUUUGGUAACUUUAUAUUCCUCCCCCACCCGAAAGUUUCCUUCCCAUUCCUUCUACAUCCAAAGAUUUCUCAACCAGAAACAAGUGAUUGAAAUUGUCAGUUCAAUAUUUCUGUGCUUGAAUCUCUUGCAAAUGGUGCAAUGAUGAUGGGUUCUACAAUACAAAGCAUUCUUUUUAUUGGUGCUGAAGAAAAUACAGAGAACAGCCUGAAUCAAGUAGAGUUUGGCCAGUGUUACUGAGAACUCCUGAACUGGGAUCCUUGAUCACUGGUAAUGAUAAUUAUCGACAACCAUGAUAAAAAUUCAUUUAGUUGGCUUUUAUUCUUGGUGGAUACCAAACUGCAUAUGUUAGAAAGUUCUGUUUGUUGUAAUUUUGCCACACAUUUCUUCAUGUUCUGAAAAAUUUUGGUUGACCCUUUCCCUCUAGCUUUGUCAUUUAUUAUGUUUCUUCAAUUUUCAGGUCUAGCAGUAGAGAGCUUGAUGAACUCAAAAAAAAUAGAAAUGAAAAUUCUUAUGGAAAAACUUGUACCUUUUAAGACGAACAUCUGGGUUUUAUCAAGUGUAUGGAUUGAAUUUAGAGGCAAGAUUUUUCCCGAUUUUUAAACUGACAUUAAUUUCCAAAUUUUUGGCUAAGAAAGUAGUCUAUGCAUGUUGGCUAAAGCUCUACUCUUGCAUAAUUUGUUGUAGAAGAUUUGAAAUUAUAAUUUUAAAUAUUAUGUAAAUAUAUUUUUAUUGAUAUUCGAUUUUCUUGGUACUAAAAAAUUGCUUUCAUGAAAUAUAAUCAAGAAGUAUGAGUAAUGAUUUU
rnacentral:misc_RNA from 1 species